rnacentral:rRNA from 18 species
UGACCUCGGAUCGGACGUGAAUACCCGCUGAACUUAAGCAUAUCACUAAGCGGAGGAAAA